GCGAAGUUUGAAGUGCGUGGGGCACCGAUGCGGAAGACGCUGGUGACCGAUUGUGACGAGGUGCCAACAACAAAGAAUCCACGUGUCUAGCGGGAGGAGGGUGAGUAUAUUGAGAGUACCAGCCCGGAUAAUUAUAAACGGGUGAUGGGCUAAGGUUCAGUUCAUGCAGUACGUGUAAUCAAAAGCUAGCGGCAGAGAUCAGAACGGGCUGGCCGCAGGAGGACAUGCCUGCGUUCGGUGGCUUCCCGAUAGCACGUGCCUCACGCUGGGGACUGCCUGUUAAGUCGGCCUGUAUCGGAAGAAAAGGCGGGAGCGUGCCUGGUCGCCCGGUGGGUUAGGUAGCUGCUGAGUUCUGUGGUACAACGAAGCAGGGCCUGGGGCUGAGCCUGCGUGGGUGAGCUUGCACACGAGGAAAGCAGAUGGAGCCACGGGGCUGUGGUGAAUUGGGCAUGUACACGCCCGAAAGGUGCCCCAAAGUCAAGGGCAGGACACUGGGUGGCCUGGCCCAUCAGGAGAGAGCUACCUUCGGGGUGCUCUCAAAGGGUGGGGGAGCCCGGGGUGUGAGAAAGGAAUAAGAAGAAAGAAGCCGCGUGCUCUCUGUGUGGACUUGCUGUCAGCAGACAGGCACCAACACCACCCAUCAGUGGGGCCACCCUUGAUGCCAGCUGCCGGGGAAGACGUGAUGCGACCCGAUGGCGUGGCGAGGACAUGCCGGGGGGAAGCUGAUACUGGAGGGGGGUGGCUCAUGGGAUGUGGGCAAGAGCAGUGUUACCUGAAAUAAGGCCUUAAAGUAUUGACUGACUGUAAACGUACCUGGCUGCAGUAGAGAACUAAAUAAACUUCGCUUUUUUUUUUUUGCGUGGUGUG